UGGGGAAUAUUGCACAAUGGGCGCAAGCCUGAUGCAGCCAUGCCGCGUGUGUGAAGAAGGCCUUCGGGUUGUAAAGCACUUUCAGCGAGGAGGAAGGUGGUGAGCUUAAUACGCUCAUCAAUUGACGUUACUCGCAGAAGAAGCACCGGCUAACUCCGUGCCAGCAGCCGCGGUAAUACGGAGGGUGCAAGCGUUAAUCGGAAUUACUGGGCGUAAAGCGCACGCAGGCGGUUUGUUAAGUCAGAUGUGAAAUCCCCGGGCUCAACCUGGGAACUGCAUUUGAAACUGGCAAGCUAGAGUCUCGUAGAGGGGGGUAGAAUUCCAGGUGUAGCGGUGAAAUGCGUAGAGAUCUGGAGGAAUACCGGUGGCGAAGGCGGCCCCCUGGACGAAGACUGACGCUCAGGUGCGAAAGCGUGGGGCAGCAAACAGAAUUAGAUACCCUGGUAGUCCACGCUGUAAACGAUGUCGAUUUUGGAGGUUGUGCCCUUGAGGCGUGGCUUCCGGAGCUAACGCGUUAAAUCGACCGCCUGGGGAGUACGGCCGCAAGGUUAAAACUCAAAUGAAUUGACGGGGUC
rnacentral:rRNA from 1 species